rnacentral:tRNA from 1 species
GCCUUCGUGAUGUAGUGGUAAGCACGCUCGGCACGUAUUCGAGAAGUCCGUGGUUCGAUUCCCGGCGAGGGUG